rnacentral:misc_RNA from 1 species
GAUGAAGAACGUAGCGAAAUGCGAUACGUAAUGUGAAUUGCAGAAUUCAGUGAAUCAUCGAAUCUUUGAACGCGUAUUGCGCUCUUUGGUAUUCCGAAGAGCAUGCUUGUUUGAGUAUCAGUAAACACCUCAACCUCUUCUUGAUGUUUCAAAAGGAGGGUGGACUUGAGCUAUCCCAACAACCUUUACCGGUCGGCGGGCGGCUUGAAAUGCAGGUGCAGCUGGACUUUUAUCUGAGCUAAAAGCAUAUCUAUUUAGUCCUCGUCAAACAGGAUUAUUACUUUUGCUGCAGCUAACAUAAAGGAUAAUUGUCCUCUUUGCCGACUGAUGCAGGAUUUUACGACACUUUAUGUGUUGUUCAACUCGAUCUCAAAUCAAGUAAGACUACCCGCUGAACUUAAGCAUAUCAAUAAGCGGAGGA